ensembl:snRNA U1 U1 spliceosomal RNA
ACAAGUUCAAAGCCAAGGAAUACCAUGAUCACAAAGGUGAUUUUCCCUGGGCGAGGUUUAUCCAUUGCACUCCAGAUGUGCUGACCCCUGCAAUUUCCCCAAAUGUGAGAAAUUCGACUGCAUCAUUUGUGGUAGUGGGGGACUGUGAUCAUACUUUCCCAUG